UACGGGAGGCAGCAGUGGGGAAUAUUGCACAAUGGGCGCAAGCCUGAUGCAGCCAUGCCGCGUGUAUGAAGAAGGCCUUCGGGUUGUAAAGUACUUUCAGUCGUGAGGAAGGUGUUAAGGUUAAUAACCUUAGCAAUUGACGUUAGCGACAGAAGAAGCACCGGCUAACUCCGUGCCAGCAGCCGCGGUAAUACGGAGGGUGCGAGCGUUAAUCGGAAUUACUGGGCGUAAAGGGCACGCAGGCGGUUAAUUAAGUUGGAUGUGAAAUCCCCGGGCUUAACCUGGGAAUGGCAUUCAAGACUGGUUAGCUAGAGUCUUGUAGAGGGGGUAGAAUUCCAUGUGUAGCGGUGAAAUGCGUAGAGAUGUGGAGGAAUACCGGUGGCGAAGGCGGCCCCUGGACAAAGACUGACGCUCAUGUGCGAAAGCGUGGGGAAGCGAAACAGGGAUUAGAUACC
rnacentral:rRNA from 1 species